AAACUUUCGCUGCGAAGCCGUCUGGUGGAUGGCUCGGCUCGGGUGCCGACGAAGGCCGUAGCAAGUUGCGAUAAGCUCUGGGGAGGCGCAUGCAGCCUUAGAUCCAGAGAUCGCUGAAUUGGUCCCGGGGCUCUGCCUCAGGGAUCGGGCACGCCGGGAAGUGAAACAUCUUAGUACCGGCAGGAAAAGAAAGCAACUGCGAUGCCGUUAGUAGGGGCGACCGAAAGCGGCACAGGGCAAACCGAAUCUCUGACCGUAAGGUUGGAGAGAUGUGGUGUUUAGCGGGACCCACUGUCUGGCCUUACCUAGCGAAGUUGAAGUGGCCUGGAAUGGCCCGCCAUAGAGGGUGACAGCCCCGUAAACGAGUUGGGUGAGGUCAAUGGGUGGUGUUCCAGAGUACCGUAGGUUGGUUAGUCCUGCGGGAAGGUGGGAGAACCAACUCCCAACUCUAAACAUACACCCGAGACCGAUAGCGCACUAGUACCGUGAGGGAACGCUGAAAAGUACCCCUGGCGGGGGGUGAAAAGUGCCUGAAACCAGACGGUUACAUGAGACGCGGCAUGAAAGGAUACUCCCCUUGAAGGAAACACUCGUGAGGGUGGAGUACGAAAGGGGAUUACCGGUGUCGCGUCGUUCGUCUUGAAGCAUGAGCCAGGGAGUUGGUGGUCAUGGCGAGGCUAAGCCCUAGAAAGGGUGGAGCCGUAGGGAAACCGAUAGCCCGCAGACCUUUUGGUUCAGGGGCAGGGUCUGAAAGGGCCCGUAGUCAUGGCUGCCAGACCGGAAUCCCGGCGAUCUACGCCUGGCUAGGGUGAAGUCGGCCAACAGGCUGAUGGAGGCCCGCUAGGGGUUCUGAGCUCAACUCGUUCCCGUGAGCUGGGUGUAGGGGUGAAAGUCCAAUCGAGCCGGGGGAUAGCCGGUUCCCCCCGAGACAUCCCAUAGGAUGACCUCGGUGGAGGCAGACGGCAAGGUAGAGUCACUGAUUGGAAGGUCAAGGGGAGAAAUCCUCAGCCUUCCUGUCAAACUCCGAACUUGUCGUCGCUGUAGAAACCGGGAGUCGGGGCGUGGGGGUAAGCUCCACGUCCGAAAGGGGAACAACCCAGCCCGGGGUUAAGGUCCCAAAGUGCCGGCUAAGUGCUAAAUGCCAAAGGGUGUCCUUUGCCCAAGACAGCGGGGAGGUAGGCUUAGAAGCAGCCAUCCUUUAAAAAGUGCGUAACAGCUUACCCGCCGAGGCAGGGGGCCCUGAAGAUGGACGGGGCUCAAGCCGGCCACCGAUACCUCGGGGGUCUCCUAGAAAUAGGAGACAUCCGGUAGGGGGGCGUCCGGCGAGGGAGAAAGCUGGGCGGUAACGUCCAGUGAACCUCGCUGGAAUGAAGAUCCUGGCAGUAGUAGCAGCGAAAGUCGGGUGAGAAUCCCGACCACCGAAAGGGCAAGGGUUCCUCGGCAACGCUCGUCAGCCGAGGGUAAGCCGGUCCUAAGUCCACCCGUAACCCGAAGUGGACGAAAGGGAAGCCGGUUAAUAUUCCGGCGCCAUGAAGAUUGCCUCGCCCAUUCCCUGACAUCUCGGGGUAGGCGGACCAAGGUUGUCGCCUUGGCUAACCAGGAUAAGACUGGGGAGAUCCGUAAUGGAGAGAACCGGUCUAAACUGGGAUGGGCCUCCUUUGGGGGUUCUGCUGAUCCCUGGGAUCCAUGAAAAGGGGAAUGGGAAAUGGUGGUCUUCAUGACCGUACCCAGAACUGACACAGGUGCCCAGGUUGAGAAGACUAAGGUGUGGCGGGAUAACCCUCCCUAGGGAAAUCGGCAAAUUGGCCCCGUAUCUUUGGUAGAAGGGGUGCCUGCUACCUGCGGGAUUAAACUCGUAGGCUAGCAGGUCGCAGUGACAAGGGGAGUCCGACUGUUUACCAAAAACACAGGUCUCUGCUAGGGGGCAACCCUGUGUACAGAGGCCGAUGCCUGCUCACUGCCAGAAGGUGAAAGUCCGGUUCAACGGACUUAAGCCCUGGUGAAGAGCGGGGGUAACUCUGACCCUCUUAAGGUAGCGUAAUACCUCGCCGCUUAAUUGGCGGCUUGCAUGAAGGGCAUAACGAGGCUCCCACUGUCCCAGGGAGGGACCCGGCGAACCUACCAGCUGGUGAAGACGCCAGCAACUUCCGGUGGGGCGCGAAGACCCCAUGGAGCUUUACAGCAGCCUGACGUUCGUGUGCGAUCACGAGUAUGAAGUGUAGGCAGGAGCCUUCGAAGCGGACUCGCCAGGGUCCGUGGAGGCGCCGAUGGGACACUGCCUUCUUGUGAUUGCCCACGUUACCCAGAAUAGGGGACAUCGUCAGGUGGGCUGUUCGGCUGGGGCGGUACGCCUUUGAAAAGGUAUCAAAGGCGCCCAAAGGUCACCUCAGGCGGGUCAGAAAUCCGCCGUAGAGUGACAAGGUCAAAUGGUGGCUUGACUGUGUUCCGCACAAUGAGGAACACAGGGGCGAAAGCCGGGCCUAGCGAACAGCAGUGUCCCCUUUGGUGGGGGCCUGCUCUGUCAGAAAAGUUACCCUGGGGGUAACAGAGUUGUCGCGGGCGAGAGCUCACAUCGACCCCGCGGUUUGCCACAUCGCUGUCGGCUCUUGCCAUCCUGGCUGUGCAGCAGCAGCCAAGGGUGGGGUUGUUCACCCAUUAAAGGCAAACGUGAGCUGGGUUCAGAACGUCGCGAGACAGUUUGGCGGCACCUACCGGAAGCGUGGGUCGGCUGAGGGUAAGGCCCAUCAAGUACGAGAGGAACGAUGGACCGGGGCCUCUGGUCUACCGGUUGUCCGACAGGGCACUGCCGGGCAGCUACGCCCCACGCCGAUAAGGGCUGAAGGCAUCUAAGCCCGAAGCGGCCCCCAAGACGAGCCGACCAUUCUCCUUGCAAAUCUCGGGCAACUGAGGUUUGUAAGGGGACGAGGGCGCCCGUAAAAGACGGGUUUGAUAGGCCUGGGAUGUAAGCGGGAAGCUUCGGCGACCCGUUAAGUCUGCAGGUACUAAGAGCCCAAGGGUGAAGGUUU
rnacentral:rRNA from 20 species